rnacentral:rRNA from 1 species
CGACUAGCACAUGCAUGAUCGAGCGAAUCUUUGCAGCGUAAAGCAAAGGUUAGCGGCAGACGGGUGAGUAAUAUUUGGGCAAUCUGCCCUCGAGUGGGGAACAACCGGCCGAAAGGCUGGCUAAUGUCCCAUAAGACCACAGGGAUGCAUAUCCAAGGGGUCAAAGCUCCGCAAGGGGCGCUUGAGGAGGAGCCCAAAUCCUAUCAUGGUAGUUGGUGAGGUAACGGCUCACCAAGCCUUUGACGGGUAGCCGGCCUGAAAGGGUGAUCGGCCACACUGGCACUGAGACACGGGCCAGACUCCUACGGGAGGCAGCAGUGGGGAAUUUUGCGCAAUGGGGGAAACCCUGACGCAGCAACGCCGCGUGGAGGAUGAAGUCCCUUGGGACGUACACUCCUUUCGACCGGGACGAAUAAUGACGGUACCGGUGGAAGAAGCCCCGGCUACCUUCGUG